rnacentral:lncRNA from 1 species
AUAAACAAUCUAAGCAUGGUUAAUAAAUUAACAAUCCUACCUAAACAAUCAAAUGAUAUGAUUCAUUUACAAAUUUUAUAGAUCGUCACACAAAACCAUUUUAACUUAUAUCAGUAGAGGGCAAAGGGGAUGCCUAACUACCACUAUGAAUGGAAAAUUGUUCAGUUUGAUAUAUGGUAAAGCAGUUGGAAAUUAUGACAAUGGUGUUACUUCACCAUUGUGGUCCCUACAAUCAGUUGCAAACCAUUCUUGUUAGAGGGAACAGUUGGAAAUUAUGACAAUGGUGUUACUUCACCAUUGUGGUCCCUACAAUCAGUUGCAAACCAUUCUUGUUAGAGGGAACGGUUCAUCAAUAGUUGAUUUCAAUCAUAUUCAAUUACCCCUCAGUGAUAACGGUCAAACAGAUUUUAAUCUUUUUACUUUUCUUAAUAAUUCCAAAGUCACAGUCAAAUUCACAAUUCAAAACAUCCAAUUUAACCCAUUGGAUCUGUCAUUUGUCUUGAUACCUAUCCGUUUCCCAAUCAUGCUGACCUAUUAAAUCCUCUCAUUGAACCAGGACAAAAUCGAGGCCCAUUAAACAACUCAGACCGAUAAGGGCCUAUUAACCAAAACCCGACUUGGAAGGGGUCCAUUAACUUACUCGAAACGAUAGGUGCCCAACACACUUAAACCAAACCCAAUGGGAUUCACUAACCAAACCUAGCCUAUUGGGGCCUACCAACCUGACCCAGACCUGAUGGGGAUCUAUUGAAUCAAAUUGAAUCGAACUAGACCAUGUGUCCACUAAAACUAACCUGGACCUAGUGGGUGUCCCUACCUAAACCCAACCCAACAAAGCCCCAUAUACUUGGUUUAGCCAUCGAGUUACCUUCUUGAGGUAAGGCCCAAUAGGGUAACCCUCUUGGCCAUCACCCAAAGGCGAGGCAGAGGGACCAACCUGCACACAUGGCAUACCAUGUGAGCACCCUCAUUACAUAGCCGUAAUCUGUAACUCGUUCGACACCUUUUUGCUUGAACCCAUUUCUGAAUACAUUUUUAUGUUCAAAACAAUUCUUUCCAUAUCCAUAACUCAAUCUAAACAUGUAAAUUCAUAUCCACAUAUGGUACAAUGGCAAAACAUAC